rnacentral:rRNA from 1 species
AUUGAACGCUGGCGGCAGGCCUAACACAUGCAAGUCGAACGGUAACAGGAAGAAGCUUGCUUCUUUGCUGACGAGUGGCGGACGGGUGAGUAAUGUCUGGGAAACUGCCUGAUGGAGGGGGAUAACUACUGGAAACGGUGGCUAAUACCGCAUAACGUCGCAAGACCAAAGAGGGGGACCUUCGGGCCUCUUGCCAUCGGAUGUGCCCAGAUGGGAUUAGCUUGUUGGUGGGGUAACGGCUCACCAAGGCGACGAUCCCUAGCUGGUCUGAGAGGAUGACCAGCCACACUGGAACUGAGACACGGUCCAGACUCCUACGGGAGGCAGCAGUGGGGAAUAUUGCACAAUGGGCGCAAGCCUGAUGCAGCCAUGCCGCGUGUAUGAAGAAGGCCUUCGGGUUGUAAAGUACUUUCAGCGGGGAGGAAGGGAGUAAAGUUAAUACCUUUGCUCAUUGACGUUACCCGCAGAAGAAGCACCGGCUAACUCCGUG